ACGCAUGGUGAGGGCACUUUUUAAGCAUCUCCUUGAAUCUCUCCAAACUAUAAUAAAUAGAUUCUUUUUUUAACUGAGUAAAAGAAAUAAUUUCAUCUUUAAGCUU